GAUGAACGCUGGCGGCGUGCCUAAUACAUGCAAGUCGAACGAAUGGAUUAAGAGCUUGCUCUUAUGAAGUUAGCGGCGGACGGGUGAGUAACACGUGGGUAACCUGCCCAUAAGACUGGGAUAACUCCGGGAAACCGGGGCUAAUACCGGAUAACAUUUUGAACCGCAUGGUUCGAAAUUGAAAGGCGGCUUCGGCUGUCACUUAUGGAUGGACCCGCGUCGCAUUAGCUAGUUGGGGAGGUAACGGCUCACCAAGGCAACGAUGCGUAGCCGACCUGAGAGGGUGAUCGGCCACACUCGGACUGAGACACGGCCCAGACUCCUACGGGAGGCAGCAGUAGGGAAUCUUCCGCAAUGGACGAAAGUCUGACGGAGCAACGCCGCGUGAGUGAUGAAGGCUUUCGGGUCGUAAAACUCUGUUGUUAGGGAAGAACAAGUGCUAGUUGAAUAAGCUGGCACCUUGACGGUACCUAACCAGAAAGCCACGGCUAACUACGUGCCAGCCGCCGCUGUAA
rnacentral:rRNA from 1 species